rnacentral:rRNA from 1 species
UCAGGAUGAACGCUAGCUACAGGCUUAACACAUGCAAGUCGAGGGGCAGCAUGGUCUAGCUUGCUAAGGCUGAUGGCGACCGGCGCACGGGUGAGUAACGCGUAUCCAACCUACCCCAUAGUAGGGGAUAGCCCGUAGAAAUGCGGAUUAAUACCCUAUGUUUUCCGAGGAGGACAUCUGACUUGGAACAAAGAUUCAUCGCUAUGGGAUGGGGAUGCGUCCGAUUAGCUUGUUGGCGGGUGACGGCCCACCAAGGCGACGAUCGGUAGGGGUUCUGAGAGGAAGGUCCCCCACACUGGUACUGAGACACGGACCAGACUCCUACGGGAGGCAGCAGUGAGGAAUAUUGGUCAAUGGGCGAGAGCCUGAACCAGCCAAGUAGCGUUGCAGGAAGACGGCCCUACGGGUUGUAAACUGCUUUUAUCAGGGGAUAAAGUGUGGGACGUGUCCCUCAUUGCAGGUACCUGAUGAAUAAGGACCGGCUAAUUCCGUGCCAGCCGCCGC